rnacentral:rRNA from 1 species
AGAGUUUGAUCAUGGCUCAGGACGAACGCUGGCGGCGCGCCUAACACAUGCAAGUCGAGCGAGAACCGGAGCUUCGGCUCCGGGGACAGCGGCGAACGGGUGAGUAACACGUGGAUAACCUGCCCUCGGCACCGGAAUAGCCCGGGGAAACCCGGAUUAAUGCCGGAUGGCCCCACACCCCUGCGGGGAACGUGGGAAAAGGUAGCUUCGGCCUCUGGCCGAGGAUGGGUCCGCGGUGGAUUAGCUUGUUGGUGGGGUAAUGGCCCACCAAGGCGACGAUCCAUAGCUGGUCUGAGAGGACGAUCAGCCACACUGGGACUGAGACACGGCCCAGACUCCUACGGGAGGCAGCAGUGGGGAAUCUUGCGCAAUGGGCGAAAGCCUGACGCAGCGACGCCGCGUGCGGGAAGAAGGCCUUAGGGUUGUAAACCGCUUUCAGGAGGGACGAAGCCACUCGGGUGAAUAGCCCAGAGGGUGACGGUACCUCUAGAAGAAGCCCCGGCUAACUACGUGCCAGCCGCCGCGGUAAUUC